AACGUAGGAGACAAACGUUAUCCGGAGUUACUGGGCGUAAAGGGCGUGUAGGUGGUUUUGUAAGCCAGAUGUGAAAUCCCCGGGCUUAACCUGGGAAUGGCAUUUGGGACUGCAAGGCUUGAGUGCGGCAGAGGAGACUGGAAUUCCUGGUGUAGCAGUGAAAUGCGUAGAUAUCAGGAGGAACACCGAUGGCGAAGGCAGGUCUCUGGGCUGACACUGACGCUCAUGCACGAAAGCGUGGGGAGCAAACAGG
rnacentral:rRNA from 1 species